rnacentral:rRNA from 1 species
UACAGAGGUCCCAAGCGUUGUUCGGAUUCAUUGGGCGUAAAGGGUGUGUAGGUGGCGCCGUAAGUCGGGUGUGAAAUCUCGGGGCUUAACUCCGAAACUGCAUUCGAUACUGCGGUGCUUGAGGACUGGAGAGGAGACUGGAAUUUACGGUGUAGCGGUGAAAUGCGUAGAUAUCGUAAGGAAGACCAGUGGCGAAGGCGGGUCUCUGGACAGUUCCUGACGCUGAGGCACGAAGGCCAGGGGAGCAAACGGG